rnacentral:misc_RNA from 1 species
UACGGAGGGUGCAAGCGUUGUCCGGAUUUAUUGGGUUUAAAGGGUGCGUAGGCGGUUCUUUAAGUCAGUGGUGAAAGGCUGCAGCUCAACUGUAGCAUUGCCAUUGAUACUGAAGAACUUGAGUACAGACGAGGUAGGCGGAAUUGAUAGUGUAGCGGUGAAAUGCAUAGAUACUAUCAAGAACACCGAUUGCGAAGGCAGCUUACUAGGCUGUAACUGACGCUGAGGCACGAAAGCGUGGGGAGCAAACAGG